rnacentral:misc_RNA from 1 species
GGACUACUCGGGUUUCUAAUCCUGUUUGCUACCCACGCUUUCGCACCUCAGUGUCAGUACCGGUCCAGGGAGCCGCCUUCGCCACCGGUGUUCCUCCCAGUAUCUACGCAUUUCACCGCUACACUGGGAAUUCCGCUCCCCCCUCCCGGACUCAAGCAAAGCAGUUUCAAAGGCAAUUCCUCGGUUGAGCCGAGGGCUUUCACCUUUGACUUACCAUGCCACCUACGUGCGCUUUACGCCCAGUAAAUCCGAAUAACGCUUGCCCCCUCCGUAUUACCGCGGCUGCUGGCACGGAGUUAGCCGGGGCUUCCUUUGGUGGUACCGUCAAUUCCUGCCGGGUAUUAACCGACAAGCUCUUCUUCCCACCUGACAGGAGUUUACAACCCGAAGGCCGUCAUCC